GCCCUGGUAGCUCAGUCGGAUAGAGCGAUCGCCUCCUAAGCGAUAGGCCGCAGGUUCGAAUCCUGCUCAGGGCA
rnacentral:tRNA from 1 species